rnacentral:rRNA from 1 species
AAUAUUGGACAAUGGGGGCAACCCUGAUCCAGCCAUGCCGCGUGUGUGAAGAGGGUCUUCGGAUUGUAAAGCCCUUUAAGUUGGGAGGAAGGGCUUUAGGUUAAUACCCUGAUGUUUUGCCGUUACCAACAGAAUAACCACCGGCUAAUUCUUUUCCAGCAGCCGCGGUAAUACAGAGGGUGCAAGCGUUAAUCGGAAUUACUGGGCGUAAAGCGCGCGUAGGUGGUUCAGUAAGAUGGGUGUGAAAUCCCCGGGCUUAACCUGGGAACUGCUGUCAUAACUGCUGAGCUAGAGUACGGUAGAGGGUAGUGGAAUUUCCUGUGUAGCGGUGAAAUGCGUAGAUAUAGGAAGGAACACCAGUGGCGAAGGCGACUACCUGGACUGAUACUGACACUGAGGUGCGAAAGCGUGGGGAGCAAAC